GGUGAACGCUAGCGCUAGGCUUAACACAUGCAAGUCGAGGGGCAGCAUGGUCUUAGCUUGCUAAGGCUGAUGGCGACCGGCGCACGGGUGCGUAACGCGUAUGCAACUUGCCUCACAGAGGGGGAUAACCCGUCGAAAGACGGACUAAUACCGCGUACACUCUAUGUUGGGCAUCCAAUGUAGAGGAAAUGAAAUUCGCUGUGAGAUAGGCAUGCGUCCCAUUAGCUAGUUGGUGAGGUAACGGCUCACCAAGGCGACGAUGGGUAGGGGAACUGAGAGGUUGAACCCCCACACUGGUACUGAGACACGGACCAGACUCCUACGGGAGGCAGCAGUGAGGAAUAUUGGUCAAUGGGCGAGAGCCUGAACCAGCCAAGUCGCGUGAAGGAUGACUGUCUUAUGGAUUGUAAACUUCUUUUAUACGGGAAUAACAAGAGUCACGUGUGGCUCCCUGCAUGUACCGUAUGAAUAAGCAUCGGCUAACUCCGUG
rnacentral:rRNA from 1 species